GAGUUUGGAGGGUGCCGGUCAACGAAGCCACGCGAGGUAUUUGAAAGGCAAUCAGCCCGACCGUCCCCCUAGAUUCAUCGGAGAAGGAACUCGGUGAAUAUUGCCCUGGGUCCUGGUAAUUCCACCUACUGAAGACAGCUGCCCCUUCUGCUCAUAUUUCCUGAGUCAACAUGGCCACUCUUAACUUUAAAGAGACUUUAGACAUUCUUUGUUACAAUGAACCUAGAAGAAAGAAGAGAAAUAAUAACUGCCAUGGAAGGAUGCUCCUCCUGCCAAUUGGCACUUAUCAAUGACAUCGAGGGAGAGGGACAGAGUGCCUAGGUAUGAGCCUUCAUCAAGUGGUAUGAAGGCCCUACCCCAACAGAAAGUGCUCAUGUGAAGAAAUGAUGCUUUGGACAAGACUUUCCUCCAAGUUGGUCCUAUCCAGGGGUUGGCAAAUAGGGUCCCUGGACAUCAUCCUUGUUGCGUACUCUUAUGAAUAAAGUUCUAUAGGACACA
rnacentral:lncRNA from 1 species